UGAGUGUCCUGGAUUCCAGAAUCCCGGAAUGGUUUGGGUUGGGAUCCAUGGAUCUUCAAUCCCAUCCCAUUCCAAUCCUGCUAUCCCCGGGUGCUCCAGGAUUUCCUUGGGCACUGCCAGGGAUCCAGGGAUUCUCUGGGAAUUCCAUCCCACCCUUCCCCUCAUUCCAAACCCAUCCCCAUCUCCCUGUGACAGGAUCCCAUUGGGAAGAAGCUGGAAGAGCUCUCCCUCUGCCGUUUUUCCCGGCGCUUCCCACGGAAACGCGCCGGGAUCUGGAAAACUGGGAGAGGGGCAGCGCCAUGAUGCUCUCACCGUUGCUAAGCAACAAGAAGAGCCAUUGCGCAUGCGCAAAGGAGGGCCGAUGGUUUCCUCAAGCGUUGCGUGGCAACGAGCGAUGAUCCCACAACUGCGCAUGCGCAGCAGCGAACAGGUGAUGCCAGACCCACUGGUUGCUUGGCAACGAGGGCAGCUCCCGUGUUGCGCAUGCUCAGCAUCGCUACGGUGAUGUCGCGCCCACGUGUUGCCUGGCAACGAGGGACGCUCCCCUUCCCGCGCAUGCGCAGUAACGGGCGCGCACCUGCGCUCAGGUGUGGCCAUGGAGCAGGAGCAGGAGGGGGCGGCACCGGCACCGAACCCGGAGCCCGCCGAGCUCGAGCCCGAGCCUAAACUCGAUCCCAAAUCCCAGCCCGAGCCAGAGCCCGGUGCCGAUCCCGGUGCUGAGGCCGGUCCCGGUGCUGAGCCCGGUCCCGGUGCCGAUCCCGGUGCUCCGAGCCAGAGCCCGGUGCCGAUCCCGGUGCUGAGCCCGGUCCCGGUGCCGAUGCCGGUGCUGAGCCCGGUCCCGGUGCCGGUGCUGAGUCCCGUGCCGGUUCUGAUCUCGGUCUCGGUGCUGGUCGCGGCUCCCGUGUUGAGCCCGGUUCUGAUCCCGGUGCUGUUUCUGAUCUCGGUCUCGGUUUUGAGCCCGGUCCCGGUUCUGAGCCCGGUGCCGGUUCUGAGCCCCGUCCCGUUUCUGAGCCCGGUUCGGAAUGGGAGCGCCAGCAGCGGAUCGCCGCCCGCCGCAGCCGCGUGGAUGUCCGGCGCCGGGAAGCCCUUGGAGAAGAGGUGGAGAAGGAAGAGGAGGAGGAGGAGGAGGAAGAUCAGGGAAUGAGCCUGAGGCUGAUCGAGGAGACUGGGAAGGUGAGAAAGGGUCGGGAAUUUCCUCUUGGAUCCAUCCUUAUCCCUGGUUUUGCUCCCUGAUGGGACAAAAUCCGGGAGAGAAACUC
rnacentral:lncRNA from 1 species